UCCCGCGUUAGAUAUGAUUUGAUAUUUCACUAUAGUGAAAUAUCAAAUCAUAUCUAACGCGGGA